rnacentral:lncRNA from 1 species
GCCCUCAGAACAUGACUGCCUAGUAUAAGCAGGUGACAAGCUUAGCAUGCUUAAUGCUUUAUACGAGAUACCCAGCUUUAUAUCUGUAAACUUGUGUUCAUGAUGUUGUUUUAUUGUGUUUAGGAGCUGCAGCCUUUAGUCUCUGUCUCCACUAUCUGAAUUUCUUGAACAGAAAAUGAGCCAAUAUACUCAUGAUAAAUAUCAAUUGUAUCAGUGCAAAAGUGCCCAUCCAGAAGCAAGGUGAGUAUAGCUCUUGCCAUUCUUGCAUAUGGUGCAAUAUAGUAGAAUUUGUAAUAAUGGGCGGCAAAUUUCAUGUCAAAAGCCAAUGGAGGAAUACAUUCUUGAGGAAUCAAUUUUCUCUUGUGAAAAUACAGGAGCUAGUAGCUACAAUUAUGUCACUGGUACUGAGAAAAGUAGAAACAAACAUGUUCUUGUGAGGACUGAAUUUUAACUAUUUCUUCCAAGCAUUAUCUAAAACUAUAGAUAAGCUGCUAACCGUAACCAUGGUGAAGUUGACCUAGCAUGUUAAUUGUCAGGAAAAAGAACAAUUAACACCAAUUAUUGUGCCUUUUAAAGUAGUGACAUGGACCACAAGUGCUCAAAUCUUUCACAUUGGCGUUCUCUCUUACCUGAUGGUUUGCUGCCACAUGAACCAAAACUGGCUAACUAAUUUUCAUAUGCUGACAGAAACAUAUUCUGUGGAGCUCGGAGCUGUUGCUGCUUCUCCUAUGUGCAUAUUGCACAACUCUUCUGAACCCCUCUACUGGCUCUCUCAGAAAUACAACCUUGAUCUGACAGAACUGAACCAUAGAUGUUUCAUUUGGUUUUUGGAAUGUGCACGCAUUUAGAAGAAUCUCACAUGCACGGUUGCAAACCAUCUAAAGUUCAACCAACAAGCUCAAUAUAGUACUGUUAGAUCCAUUCAAAUUACUCUAGCACCCAACUUAGCAACCUGAUAAUAACAGCACGCUAGCUGAUGCCUAACUCUGCAGGGACCAUACAGUUGGAGAAAAACAGGUAAUCUGAAAAUGAAUGUCUACAUUUGGCUGGCUACAAACUCAUACUCCACAGCAGCUUCUCAUAUUUUUCUCCACUUGCCUAAUACAUUGUUGUUAUAUUUUUUAGGAAGUGUUGGGCAGUCUUUGACUUCAGUCUCUGGAAUGAGGUUCACAUAACAUGGUGGGUGUGCUCUAAUCUUGGCAAGCCAUUUCUUUUGGUUUCUUAGUUCCUAGAAAUGGUUGUGUGCACAAACCUUAGUAUGUUUAACACAAAAUACUAGUAUUGCUUGCUAGGAGUGCAUUUAUGUAAUCUUUUGGACUUGUGCUUCGAUUUGAUAAACUUGUUGUAAUAAACAUGUGAAUAAUGAUGAAAAUGUGACUUGUCGUUGUAAUAUAUUGUCAUUUGUGGUUCACCAUUAUGGUUGUGAUAUAUUGUGAGGAGAUGGGUUCUGUGAUAUAUAUAUGUGAUGCUUGAUAUAUGAAUGUGUAUAUAAAUGCAAAAAAAAAGAAAAAAAUUGCCUUUUUGCCGAGGGCAAUGACCAAGGCCUUCAGCAAAGAAGUUUUUUUUAAAAAAAAUUAAAAAAUCCUUUCCCGAGGGCCCUGGCUAUAGCCCUCGGUAAAGAAUUUUUUAAAAAAUCAUGAAAUUUCUUUUGCCGAGGGCUGACUCUCAGCAAAGGUUUUUUAGAAAAAUAAAAAAUUUCUUUGCCGAGGGCUAUGGAUG